UGGGAAUAUUGCACAAUGGGGGAAACCCUGAUGCAGCGACGCCGCGUGAGUGAAGAAGUAUCUCGGUAUGUAAAGCUCUAUCAGCAGGGAAGAAAAUGACGGUACCUGACUAAGAAGCCCCGGCUAACUACGUGCCAGCAGCCGCGGUAAUACGUAGGGGGCAAGCGUUAUCCGGAAUUACUGGGUGUAAAGGGUGCGUAGGUGGUAUGGCAAGUCAGAAGUGAAAACCCAGGGCUUAACUCUGGGACUGCUUUUGAAACUGUCAGACUAGAGUGCAGGAGAGGUAAGCGGAAUUCCUAGUGUAGCGGUGAAAUGCGUAGAUAUUAGGAGGAACAUCAGUGGCGAAGGCGGCUUACUGGACUGAAACUGACACUGAGGCACGAAAGCGUGGGGAGCAAACAGGAUUAGAUACCCUGGUAGU
rnacentral:rRNA from 1 species